CCCGCCAUAGCUCAGUGGUUUAAAGCACUGGUCUUAUAAACCAGGGGUCGUGAGGUUCGAUCCUCACUGGUGGGU